rfam:Glossina pallidipes unplaced genomic scaffold Scaffold275, whole genome shotgun sequence.
GUAGUUACUUGGCGUACAAAUUACCACGAUCGCAAACACGGCUCCCCCGAAGUGAGGCUUGGCCAUUGCACUUUCGGCUGAGUUUUGACCUCCGCGAUUAUUCGUAAUGCGAAUAACUCGUGCGUGUAAUUUUUGGUAGCCGGGAAUGGCUUGCGCGCCAUCCCGAC